UCCGUAGGUGAACCUGCGGAGGGAUCAUUACCGAGUUUACAACUCCCAAACCCCUGUGAACAUACCACUUGUUGCCUCGGCGGAUCAGCCCGCUCCCGGUAAAACGGGACGGCCCGCCAGAGGACCCCUAAACUCUGUUUCUAUAUGUAACUUCUGAGUAAAACCAUAAAUAAAUCAAAACUUCCAACAACGGAUCUCUUGGUUCUGGCAUCGAUGAAGAACGCAGCAAAAUGCGAUAAGUAAUGUGAAUUGCAGAAUUCAGUGAAUCAUCGAAUCUUUGAACGCACAUUGCGCCCGCCAGUAUUCUGGCGGGCAUGCCUGUUCGAGCGUCAUUUCAACCCUCAAGCACAGCUUGGUGUUGGGACUCGCGUUAAUUCGCGUUCCUCAAAUUGAUUGGCGGUCACGUCGAGCUUCCAUAGCGUAGUAGUAAAACCCUCGUUACUGGUAAUCGUCGCGGCCACGCCGUUAAACCCCAACUUCUGAAUGUUGACCUCGGAUCAGGUAGGAAUACCCGCUGAACUUAAGCAUAUCAAUAAGCGGAGGA
rnacentral:rRNA from 1 species